rnacentral:rRNA from 1 species
GAUGAACGCUGGCGGCGUGCCUAAUACAUGCAAGUCGAGCGAACGGACGAGAAGCUUGCUUCUCUGAUGUUAGCGGCGGACGGGCGAGUAACACGUGGAUCACCUACCUAUAAUACUGGGAUAACUUCGGGAAACCGUAGCUAAUACCGGAUAAUAUUUUGAACCGCAUGGUUCAAAAGUGAAAGACGGUCUUGCUGUCACUUAUAGAUGGAUCCGCGCUGCAUUAGCUAGUUGGUAAGGUAACGGCUUACCAAGGCAACGAUGCGUAGCCGACCUGAGAGGGUGAUCGGCCACACUGGAACUGAGACACGGUCCAGACUCCUACGGGAGGCAGCAGUAGGGAAUCUUCCGCAAUGGGCGAAAGCCUGACGGAGCAACGCCGCGUGAGUGAUGAAGGUCUUCGGAUCGUAAAACUCUGUUAUUAGGGAAGAACAUAUGUGUAAGUAACUGUGGCCAUCUUGACGGUACCUAAUCAGAAAGCCACGGCUAACUACGUG